GAAUAUUGGACAAUGGGCGAAAGCCUGAUCCAGCUAUGCCGCGUGUGUGAAGAAGGUCUUCGGAUUGUAAAGCACUUUAAGUUGGGAGGACGGGUAGUAACUUAAUACGUUGCUAUUUUGACGUUACCGACAGAAUAAGCACCGGCUAACUUCGUUCCAGCAGCCGCGGUAAUACGAAGGGUGCAAGCGUUAAUCGGAAUUACUGGGCGUAAAGGGCGCGUAGGCGGCCUGCUAAGUCGAACGUGAAAUCCCUGUGCUCAACCCAGGAACUGCGUCCGAUACUGGUUGGCUUGAAUCCGGGAGAGGGACGUGGAAUUCCAGGUGUAGCGGUGAAAUGCGUAGAUAUCUGGAGGAACACCGGUGGCGAAGGCGACAUCCUGGACCGGCAUUGACGCUGAGGCGCGAAAGCCAGGGGAGCAAACGGG
rnacentral:rRNA from 1 species